rnacentral:lncRNA from 1 species
CAGAAGUCAGCUGGAUCCUAUUAUUAUUUGGAUGAUUAACCAGAACAGGUUGCAUCGAUGAUCCUUGCUUACCUCUUUCUAUUGGCACCUUGAUUUAACAGAAGCUCCGCUAUUCCUCCUAGGUGAAAUGAUGAUCGCAAAAACAGCCUCUGGGUCAUUUAUCUCAUAAACAUCUGACGUGAUUAUUAGAGGUUGAUGUCUCGGUGAACAGAUGAUAGGGUAUGAGCAGAAUGCCUACUGUUUCGUCGAUGGUUUUAUAUGAUGAUCUAGUAAUUAUUUCUGGUAUUAUGUACUCAUUAUUGGUAUUGUUCACCAAUUUUGACUGCAGAGUGGGUAGUUUUCUCCUCGGAUUUUUAUUUUGUAUGUUGAUCUUUGGCAUAUGAAUGAGGUAUUUGAUUGUGUUGAUGAAAUUUUGUGAGAUGUCUUUGAAUAGUUUCACCGAUGAUUAAUGUUCUCGCCUUUAAGUGAUUACGGGACUCUUAUGUAAUACAUAUAUGAGUAAUAGUUGAUUCUUCAUCUCUCAACUCCAU